UUUUUUCUUUUUUUCCUUCUUUUCUUUCUUUCCCUUCUUUUCUUUCUUUACUUUUUUCUUUUUGCAAGCAUACCAAAUUUUCUGGGACCAAUGGUCCCAUGGUCCGCUAUAUUUUCCACCCCUGAUUUACACCUCUAAUACUGCAAGCUGAAUAUUUUGAUUGGGAAUAGUUUUUAUAUCAUAGCUUUCAUAUUGCUUUAUCUAUAUUUAUUAGAUUGAUGUCUUCAGCUAUGGUUUGCUGGUGUUGGAGACGUCCACUUGCCAGCUACCACAAAAAGAAAGAAUGGAUCAAAUAAAUACAAUGCAGAACGAUGGAAUCAAGGAAUUGGUGAGAUGUUGUACAGAAUUCAACCCGCAACGGAGGCCAACAAUGCAGAAUGUGAUUAGAUUUUGGAAAAACAUGAGACAAUAAAUCGAUGCAUGGAAACACCCAAUUUUAGUACGCUUUUUUUAAUCACACCAUGCACCAGUAACAUGUAGCAUUAAAUUAACGAACAUUUAUUAGAAACUGUAUUCUAAGACCUGGUAACUCACCUAAACUUGCUGUGAGAUAUUACAAUAUUGAAUUGAACAGUUGUUGGAUAACGUUUGUGUGAUAUACAAAAAUACCAAGACCGAUGUAAGUGUUCCUAGUUUAGAUAAAAUCGAGAUUGAUAACACUCACCAAAAACAUAAAUGUUAUCAACACUAAUAUGUAAUAAUGCAUCUAAUAAGCACUAUAAUUACGAAUACUGAUAAUAAUAUUGAAUUCUUUAUAAUAAAUUCUGUUGAUAGUCUAGGACAUGUAUAGAA